rnacentral:rRNA from 1 species
AGGAAUAUUGGUCAAUGGACGCGAGUCUGAACCAGCCAAGUAGCGUGAAGGAUGACUGCCCUAUGGGUUGUAAACUUCUUUUAUAUGGGAAUAAAGUGGUCCACGUGUGGACUUUUGUAUGUACCAUAUGAAUAAGGAUCGGCUAACUCCGUGCCAGCAGCCGCGGUAAUACGGAGGAUCCGAGCGUUAUCCGGAUUUAUUGGGUUUAAAGGGAGCGUAGGCGGAUUGUUAAGUCAGUUGUGAAAGUUUGCGGCUCAACCGUAAAAUUGCAGUUGAUACUGGAUAUCUUGAGUGCAGUUGAGGCAGGCGGAAUUCGUGGUGUAGCGGUGAAAUGCUUAGAUAUCACGAAGAACUCCGAUUGCGAAGGCAGCCUGCUAAGCUGCAACUGACAUUGAGGCUCGAAAGUGUGGGUAUCAAACAGGAUUAGAUACCCUGGUAGUCCACACGGUAAACGAUGAAUACUCGCUGUUUGCGAUAUACUGCAAGCGGCCAAGCGAAAGCGUUAAGUAUUCCACCUGGGGAGUACGCCGGCAACGGUGAAACUCAAAGGAAUUGACGGGGGCCCGCACAAGCGGAGGAACAUGUGGUUUAAUUCGAUGAUACGCGAGGAACCUUACCCGGGCUUAAAUUGCAGAUGAAUUACGGUGAAAGCCGUAAGCCGCAAGGCAUCUGUGAAGGUGCUGCAUGGUUGUCGUCAGCUCGUGCCGUGAGGUGUCGGCUUAAGUGCCAUAACGAGCGCAACCCUUGUUGUCAGUUACUAACAGGUUCCGCUGAGGACUCUGACAAGACUGCCAUCGUAAGAUGUGAGGAAGGUGGGGAUGACGUCAAAUCAGCACGGCCCUUACGUCCGGGGCUACACACGUGUUACAAUGGGGGGUACAGAGGGCCGCUACCACGCGAGUGGAUGCCAAUCCCCAAAACCUCUCUCAGUUCGGACUGGAGUCUGCAACCCGACUCCACGAAGCUGGAUUCGCUAGUAAUCGCGCAUCAGCCACGGCGCGGUGAAUACGUUCCCG